AUCAUUCUUUGGCCUUUUAGUUAAGGUCAAGCGUUGUAGCUGAUCUUAUCAGUUUGGUAUCUGCUAAAUUCUCUAUCUGAGGACAACACAUUAAAUAGAUUUUUUUGUUUUGUUUUGUUUGGGCCACACCCGUUUGAUGCUUAUGGGUUACUCCUGGCUAAGUGCUCAGAAAUUGCCCCUGGCUUUCGGGGACCAUAU